rnacentral:tRNA from 1 species
UCUAAUAUGGCAGAUUAGUGCAAUGGAUUUAAGCUUCAUAUAUAAAGGGUUCCCCCCUUUUGUUAGAA